rnacentral:rRNA from 1 species
GCUCGUAGUUGAACCUUGGGUCUGGCUGGCCGGUCCGCCUCACCGMGAGUACUGGUCCGGCUGGACCUUUCCUUCUGGGGAACCUCAUGGCCUUCACWGGCUGUGGGGGGAACCAGGACUUUUACUGUGAAAAAAUUAGAGUGUUCAAAGCAGGCCUUUGCUCGAAUACAUUAGCAUGGAAUAAUAGAAUAGGACGUGCGGUUCUAUUUUGUUGGUUUCUAGGACCGCCGUAAUGAUUAAUAGGGAUAGUCGGGGGCGUCAGUAUUCAGCUGUCAGAGGUGAAAUUCUUGGAUUUGCUGAAGACUAACUACUGCGAAAGCAUUCGCCAAGGAUGUUUUCAUUAAUCAGGGAACGAAAGUUAGGGGAUCGAAGACGACAGAUACCGUCGUAGUCUUAACCAUAAACUAUGCCGGACUAGGGAUCGGGCGGUGUUUCUAAGAUGACCCGCUCGGCGACCUUACKGAGWAAAAAWAGAU